GUUUCUAUCGCCAUUCCAGUGCUAUGAAACAGAUUAUCUCCUUAUGAUGAGUGAACUACUAUCCUCUCUUUUUCCCCUCUCUCCUUAGAAGCACAAGUCUCCUGCAGAUAAAGGGCUGGAUAAGUUCAUGUUCAACAAUAACAUUUGUCAUAUAAGCAACA